rnacentral:lncRNA from 1 species
CGUGGUUCAGAUGUGCUAUUAGCCAAAAAUUGACCAGGGUAUUCCAGGAAGGUUGGGGAUCAUCCCAAUAUGGUCCGUUUAAUUUCUCAUGGCUAUUUGGGUGGUGAAACAAGUGAUACGGUGCGAACUGAGUGUUUUCGAGCCAAAUCGAUGUGCUAUAGCCCACGAUUUCGUGGGUGGGCCUGGGGUCCGGGCAUGCUGUCGGUCAAAAAUUAACCAAGGC